rnacentral:rRNA from 1 species
UACGUAGGGGGCGAGCGUUGUCCGGAUUUAUUGGGCGUAAAGAGCUCGUAGGCGGUUUGGUAAGUUGGAUGUGAAAUCUCCAGGCUCAACUUGGAGGGGUCAUUCGAUACUGCCAUGACUAGAGUUCGGUAGGGGAGUGUGGAAUUCCUGGUGGAGCGGUGAAAUGCGCAGAUAUCGGGAGGAACACCUGUGGCGAAAGCGGCUCACUGGACCACAACUGACGCUGAGGCGCGAAAGCUAGGGGAGCAAACAGG